ACUCAAAGGAAUAGACGGGGAGGCGCACAAGCAGUGGAGCAUGUGGUUUAAUUCGAGACGAAGCGAAAAACCUCACCAGGGUUUGACAUUGACCUGCAAGCGCACGGAAACGUGUGACCUUCGAGGGUGGUCAACAGAUGCUGCAUGGUUGUCGUAAGUUCGUGGCGUGAGCUGUCCCGUUAAGUCGGUAAACGAACGAAACCCGCGCCGUAUGUUAAAUAGUUCAUACGGAACUGCCUCGUAAGAGGAGGAAGGGGCGGAUGACGUCAAAUCAGCACGGCUCUUACAUCCUGGGCUACACACAUCCUACAAUGGCUAAGACAAUGAGCCGCAAGCCGGUAACGGCAAGCAAAUCUCUUAAACUUAGCCUCAGUUCAGAUUGGGGUCUGCAACUUGACCCCAUGAAGUCGGAAUUGCUAGUAAUCGCGGAUCAGCAGGCCGCGGUGAAUACGUUCUCGCCUCUUGUACACACCGCCCGU
rnacentral:rRNA from 1 species